CAGAGCGGGCAGUCGGUGUCGGUCUACUACAUACGCAGGUCGACCCUUGUGCCUGGUUUUGGU
rfam:Caenorhabditis elegans chromosome V